GAUGAACGCUAGCUACAGGCUUAACACAUGCAAGUCGAGGGGAAACGACAUCGAAAGCUUGCUUUUGAUGGGCGUCGACCGGCGCACGGGUGAGUAACGCGUAUCCAACCUGCCCAUCACUUGGGGAUAACCUUGCGAAAGUAAGACUAAUACCCAAUGAUAUCUCUAGAAGACAUCUGAAGGAGAUUAAAGAUUUAUCGGUGAUGGAUGGGGAUGCGUCUGAUUAGCUUGUUGGCGGGGUAACGGCCCACCAAGGCGACGAUCAGUAGGGGUUCUGAGAGGAAGGUCCCCCACAUUGGAACUGAGACACGGUCCAAACUCCUACGGGAGGCAGCAGUGAGGAAUAUUGGUCAAUGGGCGAGAGUCUGAACCAGCCAAGUAGCGUGCAGGAUGACGGCCCUAUGGGUUGUAAACUGCUUUUAUAAGGGAAUAAAGUGAGAGUCGUGACUCUUUUUGCAUGUACCUUAUGAAUAAGGACCGGCUAAGUCCGUGCCAGCCGCCGCGGUAA
rnacentral:rRNA from 1 species